GGCGAGUGGCGAACGGGUGAGUAAUACAUCGGAACAUGUCCUGUAGUGGGGGAUAGCCCGGCGAAAGCCGGAUUAAUACCGCAUACGAUCCACGGAUGAAAGCGGGGGACCUUCGGGCCUCGCGCUAUAGGGUUGGCCGAUGGCUGAUUAGCUAGUUGGUGGGGUAAAGGCCUACCAAGGCGACGAUCAGUAGCUGGUCUGAGAGGACGACCAGCCACACUGGGACUGAGACACGGCCCAGACUCCUACGGGAGGCAGCAGUGGGGAAUUUUGGACAAUGGGCGAAAGCCUGAUCCAGCAAUGCCGCGUGUGUGAAGAAGGCCUUCGGGUUGUAAAGCACUUUUGUCCGGAAAGAAAUCCUUGGCUCUAAUACAGUCGGGGGAUGACGGUACCGGAAGAAUAAGCACCGGCUAACUACGUGCCAGCAGCCGCGGUAAUACGUAGGGUGCAAGCGUUAAUCGGAAUUACUGGGCGUAAAGCGUGCGCAGGCGGUUUGCUAAGACCGAUGUGAAAUCCCCGGGCUCAACCUGGGAACUGCAUUGGUGACUGGCAGGCUAGAGUAUGGCAGAGGGGGGUAGAAUUCCACGUGUAGCAGUGAAAUGCGUAGAGAUGUG
rnacentral:rRNA from 1 species